AUUGAACGCUGGCGGCAUGCUUUACACAUGCAAGUCGAACGGUAACAGGCCGCAAGGUGCUGACGAGUGGCGAACGGGUGAGUAAUGCAUCGGAACGUGCCCAGUCGUGGGGGAUAACGCAGUGAAAGCUGCGCUAAUACCGCAUACGAUCUAUGGAUGAAAGCGGGGGACCGUAAGGCCUCGCGCGAUUGGAGCGGCCGAUGUCAGAUUAGGUAGUUGGUGGGGUAAAGGCUCACCAAGCCAACGAUCUGUAGCUGGUCUGAGAGGACGACCAGCCACACUGGGACUGAGACACGGCCCAGACUCCUACGGGAGGCAGCAGUGGGGAAUUUUGGACAAUGGGCGCAAGCCUGAUCCAGCAAUGCCGCGUGCAGGAAGAAGGCCUUCGGGUUGUAAACUGCUUUUGUACGGAACGAAACGGUCCUGGUUAAUACCCGGGGCUAAUGACGGUACCGUAAGAAUAAGCACCGGCUAACUACGUGCCAGCAGCCGCCGUAAUAC
rnacentral:rRNA from 1 species